GUAGUCUCGCACAGAUGCAUAUCAAUAAGCGGAGGAAAAGAAACUAACAAGGAUUCCCUCAGUAACGGCGAGUGAAGCGGGAAGAGCUCAAAUUUGAAAUCUUGAAAGGUCACCUUUCACGAAUUGUAGUUUAAAGAAGUGUUUUCUGUUACGAUCGUAAUAUAAGUUCUUUGGAAUAGGACAUCACAGAGGGUGAGAAUCCCGUCUAUGAUUGCGAUUUGUAGCUUUGUGAUACACUUUCAAAGAGUCGGGUUGUUUGGGAAUGCAGCCCAAAACGGGAGGUAAAUUUCUUCUAAGGCUAAAUAUUGGCGAGAGACCGAUAGCGAACAAGUACCGUGAGGGAAAGAUGAAAAGAACUUUGAAAAGAGAGUUAAAUAGUACGUGAAAUUGUCAAAAGGGAAGCGUUUAACACCAGUGUUGUUUUCUGAAAAUCAACCUCUGUUAGCUUUAUGCAUGUUUGUUUAGACCUAAUCAGCUAUCUUGCAUGUUCUAUUGUUUGCAGUGGUGCACUUUUCAGUUUACAGGUCAACAUCAGUUUUUUUUACCGUAAAAAAGUUAAAGAAAGGUAGCUCAUGGCUCCGGUCGUGAGUGUUAUAGUCUUUUUCCUAUGCGGUAGGAGAGACUGAGGUCUGCAGUGUAGGCUAUUUGGCUAGAUACUCAGGUGCUAUGUGAUACCAUUUCAUAAACAACUUGUUGAUUAUGUUUUGUCUAUUGCAUACUCGCUUGUACUAUCAUACCUACGCUUAGGAUGUUGAGUCGUAGAGCACGCA
rnacentral:rRNA from 1 species